rnacentral:lncRNA from 1 species
GAACCACGUCUUCCUUAGGUGGAACUGUCCUCUACAGUGCAGGCUGUCCAGCAUCGUCCCCGCCCACGGAUGGCAGGAGUGCUUCCCCCCAGCACACAUCUUUGUGACAACCCCUAAAAUCCCCUACACAUUUCCAAAACAGCUGGAAGGGGUAACAUGACUCCCACUGAGAGCUACUGGUAGAGAAGCGACAGAAAGAGCCUGAGACGCUGUGAGCAGCGACUUCCCAGUCAGUCACUGAAUUCACAAGCUAAACUGUCAAAGCUCCAUAGAGCUCUUGUUGCUCCUCCCUGUAGGACGAGAACCUACCCUCGUACAGUACAACUGAUCUCUGGCUCUCAGCAGACCCGUCACCGAGAACCAUGCCAUCCCACCUGGCCAGCUGCCACGAACCCCUUUGGAUGCAAU